AUUGAACGCUGGCGGCAUGCCUUACACAUGCAAGUCGAACGGUAACAGGCCUUCGGGCGCUGACGAGUGGCGAACGGGUGAGUAAUGCAUCGGAACGUGCCCAGUCGUGGGGGAUAACGCAGCGAAAGCUGUGCUAAUACCGCAUACGAUCUAUGGAUGAACGCGGGGGACCGUAAGGCCUCGCCCGAUUGGAGCGGCCGAUGUCCGAUUAGGUAGUUGGUGGGGUAAAGGCUCACCAAGCCAACGAUCUGUAGCUGGUCCGAGAGGACGACCAGCCACACUGGAACUGAGACACGGUCCAGACUCCUACGGGAGGCAGCAGUGGGGAAUUUUGGACAAUGGGCGCAAGCCUGAUCCAGCAAUGCCGCGUGCAGGAAGAAGGCCUUCGGGUUGUAAACUGCUUUUGUACGGAACGAAACGGCGAGCUCUAAUACAGUUUGCUAAUGACGGUACCGUAAGAAUAAGCACCGGCUAACUCUGUGCCAGCAGCCGCCGUAACAC
rnacentral:rRNA from 1 species